CCUGGACACUGAAGGGAGAGAAGUGGAUUUGAGAGACAUUUAGGAGGUGACAGUUCUUCUGUUCAAUGUUGUUGUUGGAAGGCUGCAUGGAUCUGUGGUACACAUCAUGUACUCUGAAGCCAGUGUCCCUGACUGCACUUUAGCUAUGAAACCCUGGUCAAGUUGCAGAACCUCUGCCCUCAUUUCCUCGUCUAUAUAGUGGAUA